AAUCAACGCUGGCGGCGUGCCUAACACAUGCAAGUCGAACGCGAAAAUCUCCUUCGGGGGAUGAGUAGAGUGGCGUACGGGUGAGUAACACGUGGGUAAUCUGCCUCGAGGUGGGGAAUAACGGCCCGAAAGGGUCGCUAAUACCGCAUAACGCAGCGGCACCGCAUGGUGACAGUUGUUAAAGGGGAGGAUCUCGAAAGAGACUUCUCGCCGCGAGAGGAGCCCGCGCCCGAUUAGCUAGUAGGUGAGGUAAUGGCUCACCUAGGCUACGAUCGGUAGCCGGCCUGAGAGGGCGGCCGGCCACACUGGCACUGAGACACGGGCCAGACUCCUACGGGAGGCAGCAGUGGGGAAUUUUGGGCAAUGGGCGAAAGCCUGACCCAGCAACGCCGCGUGGAGGACGAAAUCCCUCUGGGAUGUAAACUCCGUAAAGUCAGGGAAGAAAACCAUACGAGUAAUAUGCGUAUGGGAUGACGGUACCUGAUAUAAGCCCCGGCUAACUACGUGCC
rnacentral:rRNA from 1 species